GUGUAUGAGUGCAGUGUGUGUAUAUGAGUGCAGUGUGUGUGUAUGAGUGCAGUGUGUGUGUAUGAGUGCAGUGUGUGUGUAUGAGUGCAGUGUGUGUGUAUGAGUGCAGUGUAUGAGUGCAGUGUGUGUGUAUGAAUGCAGUGUGUGUGUAUGAGUGCAGUGUGUGUGUAUGAGUGCAGUGUGUGUAUGAGUGCAGUGUGUGUAUGAAUG